GUGGUGAUAGGUGGAAGUCAUUGAGUGAGGAGGUAAAUAUGUUUUAGAUUUGAACUCUACACUUCUCUACUCUGGGUUCGAAUUUUGAAAUUCUCGAGCAAUUUUGUAAGUUAUGCAUACUUCUAGUUCUUUUCUUUGGAGAACGGGGUGUUGCAGUUGAUUGAUUCUUGUAGUCCGACUUAAUUCAAUUGCUUCUUGCACUGUAGUUAUUGAAUUCGCGGGGGGAUUCUGAGUUCUUGAUUGCUCCGGGUCCGAAUUGUUAUGACAGUUUUCUUAGGUGGUAAGCUUUGCUUAAUUGAAUAUUAAGCAUGGUGGAUGCUCACAAUGAAAUCAUGUCUUGUAUUCCUG
rnacentral:lncRNA from 1 species